rnacentral:lncRNA from 1 species
UGUUUUGAGUAUUCGGCUUAUCCUGGCCGAACCGAAUUUACUGUAGAGAUUUCGAACCCGGCUGAUCCGAUCCCUCAUCAGCCGAAUCGCUUAUUCACUAAAAAGGCGCACACUUCAAGGGUCAUCUUUCGGCAGCCGACCAGUCAUUGUGUACUUCUUCCAUUCGGCUCUUUCAGCCGACCAGUUACUGUGUACUUCUUUCAUUCGGCACUUCUGCCGACAUUUAUCCCUGCACAGUUCGUACAUUCGGCUCUUCCAGCCGAACCAGUUUUAUAGUGAAGGUUUUCGAACCCGGCUGAUUGGAUCCCUCAUCAGCCGAAUCGCUUCUUCAGUAAAAGAGUGCACACUUCGAGAGUCAUCUUUCGGAACCGU